rnacentral:rRNA from 1 species
AUUGAACGCUGGCGGCAGGCCUAACACAUGCAAGUCGAGCGGAUGAAGGGAGCUUGCUCCUGGAUUCAGCGGCGGACGGGUGAGUAAUGCCUAGGAAUCUGCCUGGUAGUGGGGGAUAACGUCCGGAAACGGGCGCUAAUACCGCAUACGUCCUGAGGGAGAAAGUGGGGGAUCUUCGGACCUCACGCUAUCAGAUGAGCCUAGGUCGGAUUAGCUAGUUGGUGGGGUAACGGCCUACCAAGGCGACGAUCCGUAACUGGUCUGAGAGGAUGAUCAGUCACACUGGAACUGAGACACGGUCCAGACUCCUACGGGAGGCAGCAGUGGGGAAUAUUGGACAAUGGGCGAAAGCCUGAUCCAGCCAUGCCGCGUGUGUGAAGAAGGUCUUCGGAUUGUAAAGCACUUUAAGUUGGGAGGAAGGGCAGUAAGUUAAUACCUUGCUGUUUUGACGUUACCAACAGAAUAAGCACCGGCUAACUUCGUG